UGAGGAAUCUUGCGCAAUGGGGGAAACCCUGACGCAGCAACGCCGCGUGAGUGAGGAAGGUCUUCGGAUCGUAAAGCUCUGUCAGAUGGAAAGAACCGCAUGAGGGCCAAUACCCCUCAUGCCUGACGGUACCAUCAGAGGAAGCACCGGCUAACUCCGUGCCAGCCGCCGCGGUCAUACGGGGGGUGCAAGCGUUGUUCGGAAUUAUGGGGCGUAAAGAGCGUGUAGGCGUCAGGAUGUGUCAGAGGUGAAAGCCCUGAGCUCAACUCAGGAAGUGCAUUGGAAACUGUCCAGCUUGAGUAGGGGAGAGGGAAGUGGAAUUCCUGGUGUAGAGGUGAAAUUCGUAGAUAUCAGGAGGAACACCGGUGGCGAAGGCGACUUCCUGGCCCUAUACUGACGCUGAGACGCGAGAGCGUGGGUAGCAAACA
rnacentral:rRNA from 1 species